AGCGAACGCUGGCGGCAGGCCUAACACAUGCAAGUCGAACGAACCUUUCGGGGUUAGUGGCGGACGGGUGAGUAACACGUGGGAACGUGCCUUUAGGUUCGGAAUAACUCAGGGAAACUUGUGCUAAUACCGAAUGUGCCCUUCGGGGGAAAGAUUUAUCGCCUUUAGAGCGGCCCGCGUCUGAUUAGCUAGUUGGUUGAGGUAAUGGCUCACCAAGGCGACGAUCAGUAGCUGUCUGAGAGGAUGAUCAGCCACAUUGGGACUGAGACACGGCCCAAACUCCUACGGGAGGCAGCAGUGGGGAAUCUUGCGCGAUGGGCGAAAGCCUGACGCAGCCAUGCCGCGUGAAUGAUGAAGGUCUUAGGAUUGUAAAAUUCUUUCACCGGGGACGAUAAUGACGGUACCCGGAGAAGAAGCCCCGGCUAACUUCGUG
rnacentral:rRNA from 1 species